UACGAGGGGGGCAAGCGUUGUUCGGAAUUAUUGGGCGUAAAGGGUGCGUAGGCGGUCUGACAAGUCUGAUGUGAAAUCUAUGGGCUCAACCCAUAGUCUGCAUCGGAAACUGUCGGGCUGGAGUAUGGGAGAGGUGAGUGGAAUUCCGGGUGGAGCGGUGAAAUGCGUAGAGAUCCGGAGGAACACCGACGGCGUAGGCAGCGCCCUGGCUGUGAAUAAAGCUGACACUGAGGCACGAAAGCUGGGGGAGCAAACAGG
rnacentral:rRNA from 1 species